UACGAAGGGGGCUAGCGUUGUUCGGAAUUACUGGGCGUAAAGGGCGCGUAGGCGGUGUGUCAAGUCAGGCGUGAAAGCCCCGGGCUCAACCUGGGAACCGCGCUUGAGACUGGCACGCUCGAGUUCGGGAGAGGAUGGUGGAAUUCCCAGUGUAGAGGUGAAAUUCGUAGAUAUUGGGAAGAACACCGAUGGCGAAGGCAGCCAUCUGGACCGACACUGACGCUGAGGCGGCGAAAGCGUGGGGAGCAGACAGG
rnacentral:rRNA from 1 species